rnacentral:rRNA from 1 species
AGAAUCAACGCUGGCGGCGUGCCUAACACAUGCAAGUCGCACGAGAAACGGGACGUUCGGUCCUGAGUACAGUGGCGCACGGGUGAGUAACACGUGAAUAAUCUACCUCCGAGUGGGGAAUAACUGAGAGAAAUCUUAGCUAAUACCGCAUAACACUUACGAGUCAAAGCAGCAAUGCGCUUGGAGAGGAGUUCGCGGCAGAUUAGUUAGUUGGCGGGGUAAUGGCCCACCAAGACGAUGAUCUGUA